AUUGAACGCUGGCGGCAUGCCUUACACAUGCAAGUCGAACGGCAGCACGGACUUCGGUCUGGUGGCGAGUGGCGGACGGGUGAGUAAUAUAUCGGAACAUACCCUAGAGUGGGGAUAACGUAGCGAAGUUACGCUAAUACCGCAUACGAACUAAGGUUGAAAGCGGGGGAUCUUCGGACCUCGUGCUCAUGGAGUGGCCGAUAUCUGAUUAGCUAGUUGGUGAGGUAAAGGCUCACCAAGGCGACGAUCAGUAGCUGGUUUGAGAGAACGACCAGCCACACUGGAACUGAGACACGGUCCAGACUCCUACGGGAGGCAGCAGUGGGGAAUUUUGGACAAUGGGCGCAAGCCUGAUCCAGCAAUGCCGCGUGAGUGAAGAAGGCC
rnacentral:rRNA from 1 species